GCUCCAAUAGCGUAUAUUUAAGUUGUUGCAGUUAAAAAGCUCGUAGUUGGAUUUCGGGCGUGUCAUGGCGGUCCGCCACUGGUGUGCACUGCCGUCGAUGCGCCUUUCUGUCGGGGACGGGCUCCUGGGCUUCACUGUCUGGGACUCGGGCUCGACGUGGUUACUUUGAGUAAAUUAGAGUGUUCAAAGCAGGCGACCGC
rnacentral:rRNA from 1 species